GAGUAAUGCAGUUCAUCCCGUGAAGAUUCGGGAUUUUGUUAAUCAGGAGAUAGUAUCCGAGUUCUUGAGUAAAUCUAGUGAUGAUGUUGCAACCAGUGAACAGACCGUACCACUAUUAUCCAAGAAUAGUUUUUGUUACAGCAACACGAACAUUUGGGAAAAUUUCCAAGGGAUUAUGCUACGGUUCGUAAAGGAACUGUUGGCACCUCCAAUAGUUG
rnacentral:misc_RNA from 1 species